AUCGCUUCUCGGCCUUUUGGCUAAGAUCAAGUGUAGAAAUUAAUUUACAAUCUAUCACUGAGUUUACCACAGUCAGAAAAAUAUCAUUUAGCUUAGUUACAGUUUAUCUGUAUAAUGAAAUACUAAGAAGUCGUUUAAAAAAA
rnacentral:snRNA from 1 species